CUUUAUAGUCCGAUUAAAAGUGGUCAUGUUAACCUGCUCGUGUUUCAUAGGCCUAUUUGCCAGGUAACUACGAUUAUCACGUCUGUGAUUUCGACACCAUCGGAAAGUCUGAAGAUCACGUCGACUUUAAGGCCACUUUUCGGAUGGUCUUGUCAUCGAAAGACGACAUUCAGCGUUGGCUGAAAUUGCACUCUGUCACCUGGAGGGUGGACCGAACGUACCCAACUAAGGGUCAGAAAGUUAUUUUUAAGGUAGACUACAGGUGCCAUUUUAACACAAGGCCACGAGGCCCUGAAAAAGUGCCUGGCAAUAGCAGAAACACAGACUGUCCCGCCAAAAUGAACGUGACGCUGCUUCGUACUCAAGUGAGCCGAGGCAGGCAGAGUCUAAGCGCGGACGGUCAUCUGCCCACAUUCCCGACAAUGGUGAGCAUCUGCAACGAGCAUAACCACAUCCUCCACGCAACCCGUGAAGCGGGACCUACGCCUGGUUUACAUUUGAAUGUGGUCAAAUACGGUCUCGUGACUGGAGACGGGGACGGUUAUGUGUACGCCGCAACAGACUGCUGCCCGACUAUCGAGUGCUAUUCCAGUUGGCCAGAAGAACCAGGUUUGGAGGUAGCGGUAGAAGAAGUGAAUCAGGAUCCUCCAGAAGCGUCGCAUCAAGCCGCCGCAUUUGAAUUUAAUACCAUGUGCCAGAAGCUGUCUGCUCUAGUCAAAAGCGACAAGUCCUUCACCGCCUCGGCCCAGGCUGCAGUGAAGGCCUUUAAAAAAAUUGAAGGCGAUCCAUCUAAGAUCGCCGCAGCCCUGCGUUCGUUUGCCCGCGAGCCAUCGGCGAAAUCCAGAGCCUUCUGCAGAAGCGCCCGACGCAAGUUACCCCUGUCCGCUGGACGCAAGUUAGCAUCAGCUGGAAGACGGCACCGCCUCGCCGCCAGAACGCCUUCAAAGAUCACUACCGUGCCCGACCAUGUGUACAGUCAAUAAGCAAGAUUACCACUAUCUAAUAUCCAAAAUGAUAAAUGCAGGAAGUCAGUGAACAGUUACAACAAACAUGAGUACUUUGCGAAAGUUUAUGGAGUCUUGCAUCAAGAUUUCUAUUGCAGCGGCUGUAAGGGGAAUUAUUUAGUCCACUAAAAUUUGUGACCAUCACUGUCUAUUUGGACUAACAUUUAACAUCCAAUGUGCAGUGGUAUGACAAAGUAUCUGAACCGUUCGGAAUUUCUCACAUUUCUGCAUAAAAUCAUCAAAUGUUGUCUGACUUUGUUAAAAUCACACAGAUGAAAAAAAUGUGUUAAGUAAAACCACCCAAAUAUUCAUAGGUUUUCAUAUUUUAAUGAGGAUAGUAUGCAAACAAUGACAGAAGGAGGUGAAAAAUAAGUGAACCAACACGUUUAAUAUUUAGUGUCCCUCCCUUUUGGCAGCAAUAACUUCAACCAGACGCUUCCUGUAGCUGCAGAUCAGUCUAGCACAUCGAUCAGGAAUGAUCUUGGCCCAUUCUUCUUGACAAAACUUCUUUAGUUCAGUCAGAUUCCUCGGAUGUCUGGCAUGAAUCGCUGUCUUUAGGUGAUGCCACAGCAUCUCAAUGGGGUUCAAGUUUGGACUUUGACUUGGCCACUCCAGAACGUGUAUUUUGUUUUUCUGAAACCAUUCUGAAGUUGAUUUACUUCGUUUUGGAUCAUUGUCUUGUUGGAGCAUCCAUCCUCUUGUUAAGUUUAACUGCCCGACAGACAAACUCAGGUUUUCCUGCAAAACAUCCUGAUACUUUUGAAAUCAUUCUUCCAUUAAUGAUUCCAAGGUGUCCAGGCCCUGAACUAGCAAAAUAGCCACAAAUCAUCAUGCUCCCUCCACCAUGCUUCACGGUGGGGAUGAGGUGUUGAUGUUGGUGAGCUGUUCCAUUUUUCCUCCACACAUGAUGUUGUGUAUUACUCCCAAAUAAUUCAACUUUGGUUUCAUCGGUGCACAAAAUAUUUUGCCAAAAACUUCUGUGGAGUGUCCAAGUGCCUUUUCGCGAGCAUUAAACGACCAACAUUUUUUAGACAGCAGUGGCUUCCUCCGUGGAGUCCUCCCAUGAAGACAAUUCUUGGCCAGUUUUACGUAUAGUUGAUGUGUGCAUAUAGAUAUCAGACUGUGCCAGUGAUUUCUGUAAGUGUUAAGCAGGCACGCACGAGUUCUUUUUUUAUCUGAGUAUUCUGCGCUGAACUCUUGGCGUCAUCUUUGGUGGACGGCCACUCCUUUGGAGAGAAGCAACAAUGCCAAACUCUCCAUUGUAGACAACUUCUUUGACUGUCGAUUGAUGAACAUCCAGACUUUUAGAGAUGGUUUUGUAUCCUUUCCCAGCUUUAUACGAAUCCACAGUCCUUGAUGGCAGGUCUUCAGACAGCUCUUUUGACGGAGCCGCGAUUCACAUCAGACAAUGCUUCUCUUUAGGACAAAUCUUACUAGGUGUGUGUUUUAUAAUGCUUUGAACCACUCACCGGGGAUUGGCACUGGACUUAAAUUGUUUGGUAAAAAUUGGUUUCAAUUGCUCUUUAAGUCUUCUUAGGCAGAGGGUUCGCUUAUUUUUCCCCUGUCUGUCAUUGUUUGCAUGCUAUCAUUAAAAUAUGAAAACCUAUAGAUGUUUGGGUGGUUUUAGUUGAAGCAGACUGUUUUUUCCAUCUGUGUGAUUUUGACAAAGACCAGAUCUUAUUUGACGGUGAAUUUAUGCAGAAAUGUGAGAAAUUUCAAAAGGUUCAGAUAAGUUUUAAUACCACAGUAUAUAUUGAAUGAUCAUGUUUUAGUGUGUCAGGGGUCACAUUAGAAGCAACAUUUUUAUACUGGCAGCGAUAGACGUCUGAUCCGUUUGGACCGGGAGGGGGCUGGCCAGCCUUGACAGUCAAAUGGGUUGGACAUCUUUUUUUUUUUUUUUUCCAAAGACUGUCGAAGGUGGCACUUUGCUAAGCUGAAGCCUGAAUUUAUGACAAAUUUUAAGGAUGUAGUUGCUAUUUAGUUGAACUCCAUUAACGACAAUAUUAAUACUGUCUGAAACCUCUCUGGCGCAAAAUGGCUGACAAGGUCCGAAUAGGUCAAAGUGUAUAUCAGAAUGUAGUUUCAUCUAUGAGAUUUACUGUUUUUGUUUUUUUUUCCUUGUCGGACCAAAGUAUUUUUUGGUUUUCUAGGUGUGUAAUAUUAGUUUUGCCCAACGCGAGAUUAACGAAGGACUGGGAAAGCACCAACAAUAACAGGUAUGUAAAAAUAAAACUUGUUGCUUUUAUGUAAAACAAAAAACAAAUUUACUGCGACUUAGAUCCGGCUUUCACUCGAUGGCGGAGCACCCACACACAUGGUUGCUAACUGUCGUAUGCUAUUGUUUAGCCACAACUGGAUUCAUUACCUUUUUACUCUUCAUCAUUCACACAGCCGCUGGAAACAGAAAUGUCAUUGAAUCCAUCUGCAGGCGACCAUGAUUUCACAACACCAUGCGGGUGUGUGCUUGUCCUAAUGGGGAAACUGUCUUUCUUAAAGCAAAAACACUGCAACUUUUUGUCCACUGAUCAGAACUGAAAAGUUACCUAGUGUUGCUUCAAAUAAACGACAGUACAAAAUAUUUGUUAAAAUAUAAUCUCAUGUACACAUGCGUAAAGCAGUCAAUUUUUAUUUUUAGGCAUCCAUUUAGUUAAGGGCUGCCUUUGACUGUUGAUUUCUCCUAAAAAGCAUAUCUACGGUAAGUAUUUAGUCAACCACCAAUUGUGCAAGUUCUACUACUAGACCUGUAAUUGUCAACAUGGGUAAACCUCAACCAUGACAGACAGAAUGUGGGGGAAAAAAACAGAAAAUCAAAUGGAUUUUGAAGUAAUUUAUUUCCAAAUUAGAGUGGAAAAUAAGUAUUUGGUCACCUACACAAACAAGCAAGAUUUCUGACUGUCAAAGAGGUGUAACGAAGCUCUACUCGUUACCUGUAUUAAUGGAACUUGUUUUAACUCAUUAUCGGUAUAAAAAACACCUGUCCACAACUUCAGUUAGUCACACUCCAAACUCCACUAUGGCCAAGACCAAAGAGCUGUCGAGACACAAAAUUGUAGACCUGCACCAGGCUGGGAAGACUGAAUCUGCAAUUGAUAAAAAGCUUGGUGUAAAGAAAUCAACUGUGGGAGCAAUUAUUAGAAAAUGGAAGACAUACAAGACUACUGAUAAUCUCCCUCGAUCUCACCUCUUGGCAUCAAAACGGUGAGCAAAAAUCCCAGAACCACACGGGGGGGACCUAGUGAAUGACCUACAGAGAGCUGGGACCACAGUAACAAAAGCUACUAUCACUAACACAAAGCGCCGCCAGGGACUCAAAUCCUGCACUGCCAGACGUGUCCCCCUGCUGAAGAAAGUACACGUCCAGGCCCGUCUGCGGUUCGCUAGAGAGCAUAUGGAUGAUCCAGAAGAGGACUGGGAGAAUGUGUUAUGGUCAGAUGAAACCAAAAUAGAACUUUUUGGUAGAAACACAGGUUCUCGUGUUUGGAGGAGAAAGAAUACUGAAUUGCAUCCGAAGAACACCAUACCCACUGUGAAGCAGGGGGUGGAAACGUCAUGCUUUGGGGCUGUUUUUCUGCAAAGGGACCUGGACGACUGAUCUGUGUAAAGGAAAGAAUGAAUGGGGCCAUGUAUCGAGAGAUUUUGAGUGAAAAUCUCCUUCCAUCAGCAAGGGCAUUGAAGAUGAGACGUGGCUGGGUCUUUCAGCAUGACAAUGAGCCCAAACAUACAGCCAGGGCAACAAAGGAGUGGCUUCGUAAGAAGCAUUUCAAGGUCCUGGAGUGGCCUAGCCAGUCUCCAGAUCUCAACCCCAUAGAGGAUCUGUGGAGGGAGUUGAAAGUCCGUGUUGCCCAACGACAGCCCCAAAACAUCACUGCUGUAGAGAUCUGCAUGGAGGAAUGGGCCAAAAUACCAGCAAAAGUGUGUGAAAAGCUUGUGAAAACGUUUGACCUCCGUUAUUGCUAACAAAGGGUAAUUAACAAAAUAUUGAGAUGAACUUUUGGUAUUGACCAAAUACGUAUUUUCCACCAUGAUUUGCCCAAAAAAUUCUUUAAAAAUCAAACAAUAUGAUUUUCUGGGGGGGGGUUCCCCACAUUCUGUCUCUUAUGGUUGAGGUUUACCCAUGUUGACAAUUACAGGCCUCUCUAAUAUUUGCAAGUGGGAGAACUUGCACAAUUAGUGGUUGACUAAAUACUUAUUUGCCCCACUGUACAUUGUAAACUAUGGACGUCCGAACCAUUUUGAACGGCAGGGGGCUGGGCUGCCCUCCCAGUCAAAUGGACCGGAGCAACUCUUACUGUCAAAGAAAAAAAAAAAAAAAAGCCUGAAAUAAAAAUUGUUUUAAGAAUUGUUCGAAAACUGAGUAACUAAAGUCUAUUAUAAAGUAUGUACACUUGAGUAAUACUUAUCGAACAUUUCUGACGCAAAAUGGCCGACAAGGGCAACAUUUAUGAGAUGACAUUUAUUCCCACUGGCUGAAUGCGCGUAUUAGAAAUCUAGUUUUACGUAAGAUAUCUAUUGUUUUGUCGCCUUUUUAAAUAUAUAUAUCAAUAAAUAUAUUUCCUUGUAUCGUAGUUUGCCCAACUAGAAUGUGAAGAACGGCUGGAAAAGUAUCACCAAUUUGGCCAAAUUUGAAAAUUGUCCUAUAUGCAUGUGUGAUGCAUCACUGGACAGUUUAAAAUCUCAAUUUUCUGGGGGAAGAAAGAUUUUUAACAACCCCUUAACGCCGUAUGUGGCGAUUCGGCAUCAUACCGUUCCCGCUUUGAAAGCGGCCAAAAUAUCGUCUGCCUUUGUUCACUGCCGGUAGAUUAAUUGCAAACACAUGCCUGGGAACCUUUUUCAAGCAUUAGUUUCAGUCGGGUCCGACCAGAAACAACACCACUUCCUUUUCCGCACCGCGACAUUCAAGAUGAAAGUUACGUCGAACUCCUGCGCACCAACUUGACUAAUUCGUCCAAUUCAUGAAAUACAAAUGAAUGCAGCGGCUUUUUUACGCUAAGCAAGCACAUCUGACCAAAACUGAUGAUGAGAGUGCUCUCAGUGAAAGGGCAGAUGCUGAUGGGCCGCCUCAUCCACCUCCAACCACCAGUGCUGCACCUGCAAGAGCUACUACAUCAAAAAGAAACAGGAUACCUUGGAGAACUGAAAAACAGCAGAACUCUGCAAAACUUGUUCAUGCUGUACUGGUCCAGUGUAACUCGAAUUCCGAUAGUAGCAGAUGCCAUGA